rnacentral:ncRNA from 1 species
AGACUUAUAUUUUUGAUAUUUAUUUUAUAUAUUUAAAUGCCAUUUAACAAAGAAAAAUCAACCAAAAAAGUGAGUUCGCGUGUCACCUCUGACAUGUGUGUCAUAGGUUCGCCAUCACUGGUUUAGACCGUCGUGAGACAGGUUAGUUUUACCCUCCUGAUGAUGUGUUGUUGCCAUGGUAAUCCUGCUCAGUACGAGAGGAACCGCAGGUUCAGACAUUUGGUGUAUGUGCUUGGCUGAGGAGCCAAUGGGGUGAAGCUACCAUCUGUGGGAUUAUCACUGAAGCCUCUAAGUCAGACUCCCGCUCAGGCGGGACGAUCCGGCAGCAUGGAGGUUUCCUACCUAGCAGAGCAGCUCCCUCGCUGCGAUCUAUUGAAACUCAGCCCUCGACACAAGAGU